GGGUUGUGAGGUUAAGCGACUAAGCGUACACGGUGGAUGCCCUGGCAGUCAGAGGCGAUGAAGGACGUGCUAAUCUGCGAUAAGCGUCGGUGAGGUGAUAUGAACCGUUAUAACCGGCGAUUUCCGAAUGGGGAAACCCAGUGUGUUUCGACACACUAUCAUUAACUGAAUCCAUAGGUUAAUGAGGCGAACCGGGGGAACUGAAACAUCUAAGUACCCCGAGGAAAAGAAAUCAACCGAGAUUCCCCCAGUAGCGGCGAGCGAACGGGGAGGAGCCCAGAGCCUGAAUCAGUGUGUGUGUUAGUGGAAGCGUCUGGAAAGGCGUGCGAUACAGGGUGACAGCCCCGUACACAAAAAUGCACAUAUUGUGAGCUCGAUGAGUAGGGCGGGACACGUGGUAUCCUGUCUGAAUAUGGGGGGACCAUCCUCCAAGGCUAAAUACUCCUGACUGACCGAUAGUGAACCAGUACCGUGAGGGAAAGGCGAAAAGAACCCCGGCGAGGGGAGUGAAAAAGAACCUGAAACCGUGUACGUACAAGCAGUGGGAGCCUCUUAAUGGGGUGACUGCGUACCUUUUGUAUAAUGGGUCAGCGACUUAUAUUCUGUAGCAAGGUUAACCGAAUAGGGGAGCCGAAGGGAAACCGAGUCUUAACUGGGCGUUAAGUUGCAGGGUAUAGACCCGAAACCCGGUGAUCUAGCCAUGGGCAGGUUGAAGGUUGGGUAACACUAACUGGAGGACCGAACCGACUAAUGUUGAAAAAUUAGCGGAUGACUUGUGGCUGGGGGUGAAAGGCCAAUCAAACCGGGAGAUAGCUGGUUCUCCCCGAAAGCUAUUUAGGUAGCGCCUCGUGAAUUCAUCUCCGGGGGUAGAGCACUGUUUCGGCAAGGGGGUCAUCCCGACUUACCAACCCGAUGCAAACUGCGAAUACCGGAGAAUGUUAUCACGGGAGACACACGGCGGGUGCUAACGUCCGUCGUGAAGAGGGAAACAACCCAGACCGCCAGCUAAGGUCCCAAAGUCAUGGUUAAGUGGGAAACGAUGUGGGAAGGCCCAGACAGCCAGGAUGUUGGCUUAGAAGCAGCCAUCAUUUAAAGAAAGCGUAAUAGCUCACUGGUCGAGUCGGCCUGCGCGGAAGAUGUAACGGGGCUAAACCAUGCACCGAAGCUGCGGCAGCGACACUAUGUGUUGUUGGGUAGGGGAGCGUUCUGUAAGCCUGUGAAGGUGGCCUGUGAGGGUUGCUGGAGGUAUCAGAAGUGCGAAUGCUGACAUAAGUAACGAUAAAGCGGGUGAAAAGCCCGCUCGCCGGAAGACCAAGGGUUCCUGUCCAACGUUAAUCGGGGCAGGGUGAGUCGACCCCUAAGGCGAGGCCGAAAGGCGUAGUCGAUGGGAAACAGGUUAAUAUUCCUGUACUUGGUGUUACUGCGAAGGGGGGGACGGAGAAGGCUAUGUUGGCCGGGCGACGGUUGUCCCGGUUUAAGCGUGUAGGCUGGUUUUCCAGGCAAAUCCGGAAAACCAAGGCUGAGGCGUGAUGACGAGGCACUACGGUGCUGAAGCGACAAAUGCCCUGCUUCCAGGAAAAGCCUCUAAGCAUCAGGUAACAUCAAAUCGUACCCAAAACCGACACAGGUGGUCAGGUAGAGAAUACCAAGGCGCUUGAGAGAACUCGGGUGAAGGAACUAGGCAAAAUGGUGCCGUAACUUCGGGAGAAGGCACGCUGAUAUGUAGGUGAAGCGACUCGCUCGUGGAGCUGAAAUCAGUCGAAGAUACCAGCUGGCUGCAACUGUUUAUUAAAAACACAGCACUGUGCAAACACGAAAGUGGACGUAUACGGUGUGACGCCUGCCCGGUGCCGGAAGGUUAAUUGAUGGGGUUAGCGGUAACGCGAAGCUCUUGAUCGAAGCCCCGGUAAACGGCGGCCGUAACUAUAACGGUCCUAAGGUAGCGAAAUUCCUUGUCGGGUAAGUUCCGACCUGCACGAAUGGCGUAAUGAUGGCCAGGCUGUCUCCACCCGAGACUCAGUGAAAUUGAACUCGCUGUGAAGAUGCAGUGUACCCGCGGCAAGACGGAAAGACCCCGUGAACCUUUACUAUAGCUUGACACUGAACAUUGAGCCUUGAUGUGUAGGAUAGGUGGGAGGCUUUGAAGUGUGGACGCCAGUCUGCAUGGAGCCGACCUUGAAAUACCACCCUUUAAUGUUUGAUGUUCUAACGUUGGCCCGUAAUCCGGGUUGCGGACAGUGUCUGGUGGGUAGUUUGACUGGGGCGGUCUCCUCCUAAAGAGUAACGGAGGAGCACGAAGGUUGGCUAAUCCUGGUCGGACAUCAGGAGGUUAGUGCAAUGGCAUAAGCCAGCUUGACUGCGAGCGUGACGGCGCGAGCAGGUGCGAAAGCAGGUCAUAGUGAUCCGGUGGUUCUGAAUGGAAGGGCCAUCGCUCAACGGAUAAAAGGUACUCCGGGGAUAACAGGCUGAUACCGCCCAAGAGUUCAUAUCGACGGCGGUGUUUGGCACCUCGAUGUCGGCUCAUCACAUCCUGGGGCUGAAGUAGGUCCCAAGGGUAUGGCUGUUCGCCAUUUAAAGUGGUACGCGAGCUGGGUUUAGAACGUCGUGAGACAGUUCGGUCCCUAUCUGCCGUGGGCGCUGGAGAACUG
rnacentral:rRNA from 1 species